rnacentral:rRNA from 1 species
UACGAAGGGGGCUAGCGUUGCUCGGAAUUACUGGGCGUAAAGCGCACGUAGGCGGAUUGUUAAGUCGGGUGUGAAAUUUCGGAGCUUAACUCCGAAACUGCAUUCGAUACUGCGGUGCUUGAGGACUGGAGAGGAGACUGGAAUUCAUGGUGUAGCAGUGAAAUGCGUAGAGAUCAUGAGGAAGACCAGUGGCGAAGGCGGGUCUCUGGACAGUUCCUGACACUGAGGCACGAAGGCCAGGGGAGCAAACGGG